GGUUCCAUGGUGCAAUUGUGAGCACUCUGGACUCUGAAUCCAGGGAUUCGAGUUCAAAUCUCUGCGAAACA
rnacentral:tRNA from 1 species